CUAGAGCUAUACAUUAUUCAAAUUAACUUUUCAACAUGCUUAAAGAAUUAAAGGAAGCGGUUUAUGCCUGGAGCUAUAAAUUCUAUCGUUGUGCUCAGUUGGUAACAGUUUUGGCCAUACCAUAUCUGGCCGUUAAGUGCCAAAUAGACAGCUUGAGUACAUUCGAUAUUUGCCUCAUGUAUGUCAGUGUGGCACUUGGGGCAUCUAACUUUCUGAACGGAGAUCUUCAGUGGCAUACUCGCAUCAGAUAAUCAGCUACCAAACUAUGGGCAUUGUUUACUAGAUAGAUCAUUAAAAAAAAUGGAGGGGAAUACUACAUGGAAAAUUUAUGUAUGCGAGCCAACUGAUUGAUGGAGCUUAAAUGAAAUUCUGUAAAUUCCGGCCAGGUUGUUUGAAAUGCUGGAGCACGCCAAGCCGACGAGACAAAGCAAUAAACUACACACGAUUUUAUAGCACAUUUUUGCUUAUAUUGUAGCUAUAUAUAUAAUUGUAAUCUCUCUAUCUGGAUUCACACUCCAAACUUCAACAGUCUCUGUUGCUCUUGUAUUUGUAUUUCAAAUUAUGUAUUAAUAUAUGCAGCUAAGCCGUGAGCAUGGACAUGCAAAA